UAGGGAAUUUUCGGCAAUGGGCGAAAGCCUGACCGAGCAACGCCGCGUGAAGGAAGAAGGAAUUCGUUUUGUAAACUUCUGUCAUAGAGGAAGAACGUAUGAUCAGGGAAUGGGUCAUAAGUGACGGUACUCUAUAAGAAAGCCACGGCUAACUACGUGCCAGCAGCCGCGGUAAUACGUAGGUGGCGAGCGUUAUCCGGAAUUAUUGGGCGUAAAGAGGGAGCAGGCGGCACUAAAGGUCUGUGGUGAAAGCCCGAAGCUUAACUUCGGUAAGCCAUGGAAACCGUAGAGCUAGAGUGUGUGAGAGGAUCGUGGAAUUCCAUGUGUAGCGGUGAAAUGCGUAGAUAUAUGGAGGAACACCAGUGGCGAAGGCGACGAUCUGGCGCACAACUGACGCUCAGUCCCCGAAAAGCGUGGGGAGCAAAUAGGAUUAGAUACC
rnacentral:rRNA from 1 species